CCUACGGGGGACUGCAGUGGGGGAUAUUGGACAAUGGGGGAAACCCUGAUCCAGCGACGCCGCGUGAGUGAAGAAGUAUUUCGGUAUGUAAAGCUCUAUCAGCAGGGAAGAAAGAAAUGACGGUACCUGAGUAAGAAGCCCCGGCUAACUACGUGCCAGCAGCCGCGGUAAUACGGAGGGGGCAAGCGUUAUCCGGAAUUACUGGGUGUAAAGGGAGCGUAGACGGUAAUGCAAGUCUGGAGUGAAAGGCGGGGGCCCAACCCCCGGACUGCCGUGGAAACUGUGUAACUGGAGUGCAGGUGAGGCAGGCGGAAUGGCUAGUGUAGCGGUGAAAUGCGUAGAUAUUAGGCGGAACACCAGUGGCGAAGGCAGCCUGCUGGACUGUAUCUGACGUUGAGGCUCGAAAGCGUGGGGAGCAAACAGGAUUAGAUACCCUUGUAGUC
rnacentral:rRNA from 1 species